rnacentral:rRNA from 1 species
CCUACGGGCGGCAGCAGUGGGGAAUAUUGCACAAUGGGGGAAACCCUGAUGCAGCGACGCCGCGUGAGUGAAGAAGUAUUUCGGUACGUAAAGCUCUAUCAGCAGGGAAGAAAAUGACGGUACCUGACUAAGAAGCCCCGGCUAACUACGUGCCAGCAGCCGCGGUAAUACGUAGGGGGCAAGCGUUAUCCGGAUUUACUGGGUGUAAAGGGAGCGUAGACGGCAGCGCAAGUCUGGAGUGAAAUCCCAUGGCUUAACCAUGGAACUGCUUUGGAAACUGUGCAGCUAGAGUGCAGGAGAGGUAAGCGGAAUUCGUAGUGUAGCGGUGAAAUGCGUAGAUAUUAGGAGGAACACCAGUGGCGAAGGCGGCUUACUGGACUGUAACUGACGUUGAGGCUCGAAAGCGUGGGGAGCAAACAGGAUUAGAUACCCUAGUAGUC